AAACCUAAUCGACCUCUGUAGUCGAUUUGCAUUUAAUCUGAUCGUUACUUCACUUCAUCUUCCUUUUCUGUAUUCAAUUCUCAUUAUAAACCCCAAACAAAAUUCUUAAUAGGAGAGAAGCUAGAAUGAGAAGGCAGGGAAUGUGACUUACUCCGAAAGUGAACCAGCUACGUUACUCCGGCCACCCUAUCGGUCAACCUCGGUGAUAGAGACCGAUGCUUUGUUUUGGGGAUUAACUGGUGGGGUUGAACCUAUACAGCAACGACGAUGUACCGAUUAGGCGACAAAUCAGGUUCCGGUCAAGGCUAGGGUUCCAGCGAGUACGUCGGUAAGCUUUCCAAAAUUCACAAUAUGUAUUUGCUUAGUAGAUAUGUGAUUCAUAGUAAUAGCGAGUACCGAUCAUUCUCUUCCUACAAAAACCCUCACGAGUGCAGGGGAGGUGGUUGUUGACGGUGUGUAAUCUCAAUUGUCGAUUCCGAUGAACAGAGCCAUGUCUGCUUCUUCUAAAUCAAGCCUUUGUUCUCUGUUUAGAAGUGAUGCACUUCACAAAGACCCUAGGGGGUUUAUUGUGAGACGAUUUUCACUUCUGUUCAGAGUCUGGUCAUGAAUCAGGGGAUGUAGGGUUGGAUAGAUGUGUGAAAUUGUGGUCAUAUCUAAUGAUUUAGAGGUCAUCAAAGCUGGUUGGGCUAAGUCAUUUGCACCAUUUCCUAAAGAUUGAUAGUGAUGUUCACGUUCUGGUGUUAGACAAAAAAAUCUGUGGAGAUGUUCAAAGUAAACUGCUAACGGUUCUUGAAAGUGGCAAACCAAACUAGCUGGGUUGAUUGGACUGGACUGGUCAAAUUGGUUCAGUUUGGCGGUUUGAACCAAGGCCUCAACCAAAACUUUCUAUAAUUUUCAGUUUUGUUUUAUGUGCAGUGGGAGUUUAGGUUCGCUUAACCAGGGUAACUUUCAUUAAUGAAGAAGCCGACCCAAAGCAGGCCGUCCAACAGAAACAACUACAAGAUUACAUAUUUACAAAAGAGCUCCACUUUCCCCAAACCGAUUGAGGUAAGAUAAGUCUUGCUGGAUUGCUAUUUUUCUUUUAAGUUUUCACAUAGUUUCAACAUAGUCACAGAAAUCGCUCAUCCUCCCGCGAAUUCCGUAUUGGAUCGUUUUGUACCAAAUCGGUACUGGUACGUGACUGGAAUUGAAUGAUACGCUGUACCAAUUUGAUUUUUCAAUCACUCAGAUGUUGUUGGGUUCUGUUAAUUGGAUCGUUAAUUUAGGCUAGCCGCUGCAAGAGAAAACGCGUCUGGUACGUAUGGUAAUAUCAAAUCAGAAAUCACGUGUGAAAAUAGAGAUAGGGCCACUAUUAUCAGAAAGUUUGUUGAACAUGGAACGAAUCGUUGUCCGAUUGGGCUAAGGGUAUAUCAGAAAGUUUAUGUUUAUUUUUUCUAUUUCGUAAUAUGAAGUUUGGAUUUUUAUUAUUUGGUU